GAUUACGGGUUGGAUGUCUAAUUGUCCAGGCGGUAAUGCGAUACAAAGCUAUAUGAUAGCACCCAAUUUUUCC
rnacentral:tRNA from 1 species